CUUCAGUCGUCGUACGGAAGGGAUAUGUUGCUCCUUCUCCUGCCGCCCCACCGGCUUUAUCGCUUCCUCAUCCUUUUAAUACACCUAAAUAACGUGGUAACUGAGGAUUGCUGUGCCUGGCUGUGUCUGCUGUAACGUUGUUGUGUCUGCUGCAACGUUGGUCAACACAGCAACACUGACCAGUCUGAGGAGUGGAGACAACCACACUAGUAAAUGGUCUGACCCAUAAUAUUUAGUGUUAUGUGGAAAUGUAGCAGUUGGAGACGUCGUUAGAGAUGGGCGGGGCCCACUUGUAAGAAUCCUCCUGACAAGACAGGCUGUUGUGAUCACCAGUGUUUAACACACAAGGAGACAAGAAUGUUGUGCAUCAGGAAGUGUUUGCAGUGUUGUACUUGAUUGUCCUGUGUCACAACACUUAGGAUAGCUUCCUGACAGUACAAAUACAAGGUUGGAGAUAUUCGCCGUGUGGUGGGCAGCUGCUGUGUGGUGACGGCCGUGUGGUGGGCAGCUGCUGUGUGGUGACGGCCGUGUGGUGGGCAGCUGCUGUGUGGUGACGGCCGUGUGGUGGGCAGCUGCAGGUCUUCAGAGAUAUCACCAGCAGCAACACUCCAAAACAAUGUCUGCAAAGAUAAAAGUUGAUGGAACUGGAAGAGCUGGAGGUGUUGAUGGUGUGGUGGAGGGUAGAGGAGUGACUAGUGGCGCCACUAUUCUUGACCUCCAUGACUAAUUGGCGCCAUUGACCUGGAAAGGAGGGUGAUGACGUCAUUGGUUGUUGUGUGGAGGGGGAAGGUCGUUAAGGGAAGGAUAGGGGUUGCCUGCUGGUGGAGAGAUUUGGGGCCUGAGAGAGCCAGCCGCUGACUGGCUCAAUGCUGUGUAUGCUGUAGUGUGAACCUGUGACUCGACGGACAAUCCCUCAGCAGUCGGAUGAUAAAACUAAUAACCUGCAGAUGUUUACCACCCAGUAGAGUUAUAUAAUCACCUCCAAGCAAUUCUUUAACAAGAACUAUAAGGUAGGAUAAAAUUCUUAUUUAACACUACUAUAAAUGAGAAAAUUGUGUAGUGCAA